GUCGUGGGCAGUAGUGCGGUUGGGAUAUUUCAGCCAGGCCCUGUAGUGGGUGUCUGGUGGGUGCAAAUGACAAACGUUGAGCCAGCGCGGGAAAGCGCUGGUGAUGGAACUGCUGAACACACUAUUGGGCUUUGAGACAACAGGCCCGUGCCCCUUUUUUUUGGGGGGUGGCAUCCGGUUGCGGGUGUCGGCGUGUUGUUGCCUCACUUUGGUGGUGGGGUGUGGUGUUUGAUUUGUGGAUAGUGGUUGCGAGCAUCUAGCACGCAAGGGUGUGGCGCCGGCCUUCGGGUGGGUGUCGCUUUUUUGUGUGUUGAUGUGCAAUUUCUUUUGAAACUCAUUUUUGGUUUUUGUGUUGUAAGUGUCUAA
rnacentral:misc_RNA from 1 species